AGGUGCUGCACGGCUGUCGUCAGCUCGUGUCGUGAGAUGUUGGGUUAAGUCCCGCAACGAGCGCAACCCUCGUCCUUAGUUGCCAGCAGGUUAAGCUGGGCACUUUAAGGAGACUGCCUUCGCAAGAAGGAGGAAGGUGAGGACGACGUCAAGUCAUCAUGGCCCUUAUGGCUAGGGCUACACACGUGCUACAAUGGGGCGUACAGAGAGUUGCGAUACCGCGAGGUGGAGCCAAUCUCAUAAAGCGUCUCUCAGUUCGGAUUGGAGUCUGCAACUCGACUCCAUGAAGCUGGAAUCACUAGUAAUCGUAGAUCAGCAACGCUACGGUGAAUACGUUCCCGGGUCUUGUACUCACCGCCCGUCACACCAUGGGAGUUGAUUUCGCCCGAAAUUGGGAAGCUAACCUUCGGGAGGCUACCACUUACGGCGGAAUUAGCGACUGGGGUGAAGUUCAAGCAACAUC
rnacentral:rRNA from 1 species